rnacentral:rRNA from 1 species
UUUGAUCCUGGCUCAGGAUGAACGCUGGCGGGGCGCCUAAUGCAUGCAAGUCGAACGACGCAUAUUGGAGGGGUAACCCAUCGAUAUGACGGAGUGGCGAACGGGGGCGUAACACGUGAGUAAUCUGCCCCACAGACCGGGAUAGCCCAGGGAAACCUGGAUUAAUACCGGAUGACCUCGUAGGACCACAUGGUCUCUCGAGGAAAUGCCUUUUUGCUGUGGGAUGAACUCGCGGCUUAUCAGCUAGUUGGGGGGGUAACGGCCUACCAAGGCAUUGACGAGUAGCUGGUCUGAGAGGACGAUCAGCCACACUGGGACUGAGACACGGCCCAGACUCCUACGGGAGGCAGCAGCAGGGAAUCUUGCGCAAUGGACGAAAGUCUGACGCAGCGACACCGCGUGGGGGAUGAAGGCCUUCGGGUUUUAAACCCCUUUCAGGAGGGAAGAAAUUGACGGUACCUCCAAAAGAAGCACCGGCCAACUACGUGCCAGCAGCCGCGGUAAUACGUAGGGGGCGAGCGUUAUCCGGAAUCAUUGGGCGUAAAGAGCUCGUAGGCGGUUCAGCAAGUCGGCUGUGAAAGUUCGAGGCUCAACCUCGAAAUUGCAGUCGAUACUGCUGUGACUCGAGUCCGGUAGAGGAGAAUGGAAUUUUCGGGGUAGCGGGGAAAUGCGCAGAUAUCGAGAGGAACACCAGUCC